rnacentral:rRNA from 1 species
CACUCCUGCGGGAGGCAGCAGUGGGGAAUAUUGCACAAUGGGCGCAAGCCUGAUGCAGCCAUGCCGCGUGUAUGAAGAAGGCCUUCGGGUUGUAAAGUACUUUCAGCGGGGAGGAAGGCAAUACGGUUAAUAACCGUGUUGAUUGACGUUACCCGCAGAAGAAGCACCGGCUAACUCCGUGCCAGCAGCCGCGGUAAUACGGAGGGUGCAAGCGUUAAUCGGAAUUACUGGGCGUAAAGCGCACGCAGGCGGUCUGUCAAGUCGGAUGUGAAAUCCCCGGGCUCAACCUGGGAACUGCAAUCGAAACUGGCAGGCUUGAGUCUUGUAGAGGGGGGUAGAAUUCCAGGUGUAGCGGUGAAAUGCGUAGAGAUCUGGAGGAAUACCGGUGGCGAAGGCGGCCCCCUGGACAAAGACUGACGCUCAGGUGCGAAAGCGUGGGGAGCAAACAGGAUUAGAAACCCUGGUAGUCCC